UGUGUCGAGGGACAGACACGCCCUUCAAGGAUGAGGGUAAUGGACAUCGCAGGAAGCGAUUCAUCAGGACGAUGAAAUGGAACACAGGGAAUAGGGAAAAAAGUGGGCGGGUCAAACCGCCCCUUUUUUU
rnacentral:sRNA from 1 species